rnacentral:rRNA from 1 species
GGCACUACGGUGCUGAAGCAACAAAUGCCCUGCUUCCAGGAAAAGCCUCUAAGCAUCAGGUAACAUCAAAUCGUACCCCAAACCGACACAGGUGGUCAGGUAGAGAAUACCAAGGCGCUUGAGAGAACUCGGGUGAAGGAACUAGGCAAAAUGGUGCCGUAACUUCGGGAGAAGGCACGCUGAUAUGUAGGUGAAGCGACUUGCUC